GGUUCGAUGGCAGAGUGGUAGUGCAUCCGCGUCUUUUAUGCUGCAAGUCAAACGGUUUCUGCGGAGGUCGCCUGUUCGAACCAGGCUCGAGCCA